UACAGAGGUCCCAAGCGUUGUUCGGAUUCACUGGGCGUAAAGGGUGCGUAGGUGGUUGGGUAAGUCUGAUGUGAAAUCUCCGAGCUCAACUCGGAAACUGCAUCGGAUACUAUUCAACUCGAGGGUUGGAGGGGGGACUGGAAUGCUUGGUGUAGCAGUGAAAUGCGUAGAUAUCAAGCGGAACACCAGUGGCGAAGGCGAGUCCCUGGACAACUCCUGACACUGAGGCACGAAAGCUAGGGGAGCAAACGGG
rnacentral:rRNA from 1 species